AAUGCUUUAGAAAUUGCGACAUUGGUAUUCCAUUUCCUCAAAGCUUUUGAACGUAUUUCAUUCACCCUCAAGUUUGGAUUUUCUUGUAACGACCUAUUCAACUUCUCACUCAUAACCUAUUAGUAUUCAUCAUUUUAAUGUAGAAUUUUCUGUUGCAAGUAUGAGUAUUAACAAUUUUCCUUAAUUUCCUAGUUUUACACGAAGG
rnacentral:lncRNA from 1 species